UCCUUAUAAAAAUAAACCAGUCUGCGUUUUCGAUGGCAUCUGUAGAAGAGAAUAUCCAGAUUUCUGCGCUGUUGCAUAUUUAAGCUGUCGAAAUGAAGAGCAAGGCAAACCUCCUAUUCGACAGAAAAGGCUAGGAAAGUGUGAUCGUAGGGCGCAUAGGUGCGUUCCGGGAGAUGCUUUUCGAUAUACAGGUUCACCACCAUCAGGAGCUAAUGAUGAAGGUGAAGGUGAAGGUGGAGGACAGGGUACCAGUACUACCCAAGAGCCAAAGGAAACAAAUGCCCCUGAAGCUUCACAGGAGCCAAGUACCCCUGCGCCACAACCAGAUGCUAGUUCCCGUUCAGGUGGAAAAGAAAAUCCUAAAGCUGAUAAAAUUCCUAAUGAUGAACAUGAAGAGGAACCAACCACACCAAAUCAAUUAGAAUAAGCAUUUAAAAAGAAGAGCUUUAUUAAACUGCACCCCAAAAUGUUUUA